ACGUAGUUGGCCGGGGCUUCUUCUGGAGGUACCGUCAAUUUCGUCCCUCCUGAAAGGGGUUUACAACCGAAGGCCUUCAUCCCCCACGCGGCGUCGCUGUCUCAGGCUUUCGCCCAUUGGACAAGAUUCCCUG
rnacentral:rRNA from 1 species